UGGGAUUUUUUCAGUGUGGUUUUUUUCAGUGGGGGUUUUUUCAGUGGGGUUUUUUCAAUGGGGUUUUUUCAGUGGGGUUUUUUCAAUGGGGUUUUUUUCAGUGGGUUUUUCUUCAGGAGGGUUUUUUGAGAUCGGGUUUUUUGGAUCGAAGAGCUAACUUCAAGCUCUUUUCAAGGUCACUAGUUUGGUUUCAUUAGGGUUUGUGAGGGGAGAGCAAUCGCUGCUCAAAGUCAGUGUUUAUUUUGGUGUUUCUGUCACG
rnacentral:lncRNA from 1 species